UACGGAGGGUGCGAGCGUUAUCCGGAUUUAUUGGGUUUAAAGGGUGCGUAGGCUGUGCGUCAAGUCAGGGGUGAAAUUCCGUCGCUCAACGUCGGUUGUGCCCUUGAUACUGGCGUGCUGGAGUACGGAUGCCGCCGGAGGAAUGAGUGGUGUAGCGGUGAAAUGCAUAGAUAUCACUCAGAACACCGAUUGCGAAGGCAUCUGGCGAAUCCGUCACUGACGCUGAUGCACGAAAGCGUGGGGAUAAAACAGGAUUAGAUACCCUGGUAUUCCACGCCGUAAACGAUGAUGACUAGCCGCCGGCGACAUGCUGUCGGUGGCCCAGCGAAAGCGGUAAGUCAUCCACCUGGGGAGUACGGCCGCAAGGCUGAAACUCAAAGGAAUUGACGGGGGCCCGCACAAGCGGAGGAACAUGUGGUUUAAUUCGAUGAUACGCGAGGAACCUUACCCGGGCUCGAACGGCGGCCGGCCGGGGCAGAGAUGCCCCUUCCCUUCGGGGCGUCCGUCGAGGUGCUGCAUGGUU
rnacentral:rRNA from 1 species